AGUUACGGCCAUGGCACCUUGAACAAGCCCGAUCCCAUAUGAUCUCAAAAGCUAAGUCAGGCCUGCUUAGUACUUGGAUGGGAGACCACCUAGGAAGACCAGGUACUGUAGGCU
rnacentral:rRNA from 1 species